rnacentral:lncRNA from 1 species
AUUCAUCUUUGGCAAAGGAACAAAAUUAUCAGUCAAACCCAAUCUCGCAGACUCUGACCCUUCUGUCUACCAACUGAAGUCCCAAGAUGGAAAAUUGUCAGCUUGCCUUAUCACAGACUUCGCCCCUGAGAACAUCUCAGUUGGGAGUUCAGGCAGUGAUCUAACACCAGUCAGUGGUUCCAUUGUGCAGGUGAAAAAUCCAGACAGCAGAAAAAUGGAAGCAAGCUAUGGGACGGUGCUUUGGAGAGAAGAGAAGUCGUUUCACUGCAUCGCUAAACAUAAAAUGGAAACAUUUGAGAUGAGUGACAGUGAUGAAGAAGGUGACACCUGCGGGAUAACAGAGCUGGAUGACAAUUUUGAGACAGACGAGAAGCUGAACCUCCUGUCAUUCACGCUGCUGGGCCUGAGAAUCGUUUUUGUGAAAGGAGUGGCGGUUAACCUGCUGCUGACCAUCUGGCUGUGGAAAAGCUAAAGAGUGGAAGGAAAGAGGACAGAUGGAAUCUGGAGUGAUGGGAAUUCCUCAGAGACCUGGUGUCACCUCUUCACCUUCCCAUGCACCAGGAAAUAUGAUGCAGUGAAUGAUCCUCAUAUCACCUCUGUAUAUAGGCCUGUUGUACAAUCAUCAGAUGUGCUUUCAUUUAGCAAGUUUUAGAAGGAUCUCACCUACCUAGCCUGGUUUUUUCAUGACCCUCAUCCCUUUCACCCUCCACAGACUGACACAUUUAUCCUCACAAGCUCCCAGUGUGAGGCAAGGAAUUGCUAUUAAGUAGAGCUGGUCAACAAAUGUGUGAAAACAUCUUUUGAUGGAAAAUUAGGGUUUCAAUUUAUUUUGGCAGAAAGUCCCCAUUUUCCUAGGGAAAAAAACUUCAAAUUUUCAUCAAAAACUCAAAAUGUUUGGCUAAAAAGUGAAUAUUUUGCAGUUUUUGGGGUUGUUUUUUUUUAGUUUUUGACCACAAGAUUUUUCAGUUUUUAGUUGUCAAACCACCAAAAACAACUUUUUUAAACAGUUUUUUCCAGUGCAAAUUUCAACAAAAAGUGAAAAAUUUUUUAGAGUUGAUUGAAAUUUUCUGCAGAUCAAACCAGCUUUACCAUUAACCCUAUUUUGAAAAGGGGAAAUUGAAGCACAGAGAAUGAGGCUGAGAUUUUCAAAGCCACCUAAGGGCUUUGGGCUCCUGCUUCUCUUGGAAAUCAAUGGAAAUUGUGCAUUAAAAUCCUCUAGGUUGAAUUUUACACUCUCUGCCACACACUGGGAUUUUCAAAGCAGCCUAGAGGAAUGAGGCAUCCAUCUCCACUUGAAAUUCAAUAGCAUUUAGGCAGCUAGUGCCUUUGAAAAUCCAGCCAACACAUUUCUGAUAGUGGUGGGUUCUUUAAAGCAGACGCGUGGAAGUUGAUGCUAGACAAAUUCAGCCUUUCACUAAAGUGCAAAUUAACAAUCGGGUAAUUAACCAUUGGAUGGUCUUAACUAGGCGUGUG